rnacentral:rRNA from 1 species
UGCUSGGCGGAUUAGUGGCGACGGGUGAGUAACAGUGAGUAACCUGCCCUUGACUCUGGGAUAAGCCUGGGAAACYGGGUCUAAUACYGGAUACGACCUUUCACCGCAUGGUGGUUGGUGGAAAGAUUUUUUGGUUUUGAAUGGACUCGCGGCCUAUCAGCUUGUUGGUGAGGUAAUGGCUCACCAAGGCGACGACGGGUAGCCGGCCUGAGAGGGGGACCGGCCACACUGGGACUGAGACACGGCCCAGACUCCUACGGGAGGCAGCAGUGGGGAAUAUUGCACAAUGGGCGCAAGCCUGAUGCAGCGACGCCGCGUGAGGGAUGACGGCCUUCGGGUUGUAAACCUCUUUCAGYAGGGAAGAAGCGAAAGUGACGGUACCUGCAGAAGAAGCGCCGGCUAACUACGUGCCAGCAGCCGCGGUAAUACGUAGGGCGCAAGCGUUGUCCGGAAUUAUUGGGCGUAAAGAGCUCGUAGGCGGUUUGUCGCGUCUGCUGUGAAAGCCCGGGGCUCAACCCCGGGUCUGCAGUGGGUACGGGCAGACUAGAGUGCAGUAGGGGAGACUGGAAUUCCUGGUGUAGCGGUGAAAUGCGCAGAUAUCAGGAGGAACACCGAUGGCGAAGGCAGGUCUCUGGGCUGUAACUGACGCUGAGGAGCGAAAGCAUGGGGAGCGAACAGGAUUAGAUACCCUGGUAGUCCAUGCCGUAAACGUUGGGCACUAGGUGUGGGGGACAUCCACGUUUUCCGCGCCGUAGCUAACGCAUUAAGUGCCCCGCCUGGGGAGUACGGCCCAAGGUAAAACUCAAAGGAAUUGACGGGGGCCCGCACAACGGCGGAGCAUGCGGAUUAAUUCGAUGCAACGCGAAGAACCUUACCAGGCUUGACAUGGACCGGACCGCCGCAGAAAUGCGGUUUCCCUUCGGGGCUGGUUUACAGGUGGUGCAUGGUUGUCGUCAGCUCGUGUCGUGAGAUGUUGGGUUAAGUCCCGCAACGAGCGCAACCCUCGUUCUAUGUUGCCAGCGCGUUAUGGCGGGGACUCAUAGGAGACUGCCGGGGUCAACUCGGAGGAAGGUGGGGACGACGUCAAAUCAUCAUGCCCCUUAUGUCUUGGGCUUCACGCAUGCUACAAUGGCCGGUACAAAGGGUUGCGAUACUGUGAGGUGGAGCUAAUCCCAAAAAGCCGGUCUCAGUUCGGAUUGAGGUCUGCAACUCGACCUCAUGAAGUCGGAGUCGCUAGUAAUCGCAGAUCAGCAACGCUGCGGUGAAUACGUUCCCGGGCCUUGUACACACCGCCCGUCAAGUCACGAAAGUUGGUAACACCCGAAGCCGGUGGCCUAACCCUUGUGGGAGGGAGCCGUCGAAGGUGGGACUGGC